rnacentral:rRNA from 1 species
UACGUAGGGUGCGAGCGUUAAUCGGAAUUACUGGGCGUAAAGGGUCCGUAGGCGGUGCGGUAAGUCGGGAGUGAAAUCUCUGGGCUUAACUCAGAGGCUGCUUCCGAAACUACCGUGCUAGAGUGCGAGAGAGGCAAGUGGAAUUGCGGGUGUAGCGGUGAAAUGCGUAGAUAUCCGCAGGAACAUCCGAGGCGAAAGCGGCUUGCUGGAUCGCAACUGACGCUGAGGGACGAAAGCUAGGGGAGCAAACAGG